rnacentral:lncRNA from 1 species
CCCUCUCCAUCAAAAAUUAUUAUCAUGUGACCUACAAAUAUGACCUUUCUAAUGAAAACAAGUCACCCUAGAAGCAUGCAGGGGUAAAUUCAGUAAAUAGAUCUACGUCAUCAGGGACUGCCCAUUUAGGGGAGAGCUUUCUGUAUAACACUGAAGUCAUAUGCUCUUCUGAUUGGUAGAUAAUGUUUGUAAUAAAUAUUUUUUGGCAGAUGGAUCAAAACUAGAGUUGAAAAAAAAUAAAAAAAUAAAUGCUGAAUGUACUAAAUUUUUUUACUACAGGGUUGAAAAGUAAUGGGGGUCAGUAUAGGAAUUCAGUGCGAAUCUACAUUGUUUGUAAACAAGGCCAUGUGAAUGCCCAAAAAUGCUGCAUGACCCUAUGUUUUUAUUAGUGCAAAAGAUAGGGCUACAUUUGUACUUUCAUGAAUGUUAUAUGAAAGUUUCUAAUUUCUAAAGGUAAAUCAGGUAUAAAUUUAAUUCCAUACAUAGAUUAGCAUUAAAGUCAAUGGGAGAUUUUUUACUGAAUUUACCCCUGCAAUCAAUGUACUAGAUUUGGUGAAAAUCUGAUGUAUGUUGGAAACCUUUUUUGUGACAAAAUGGAUUUAACCAAAACGGACAGCUAGCUUACAUGAAGCUAUAAAUAUGCUUUAUUUUUUAUUUAAAC